rnacentral:rRNA from 1 species
GACGUACGCUGGCGGCGUGCUUAACACAUGCAAGUCGAACGGAAAGGCCCUGCUUUUGUGGGGUGCUCGAGUGGCGAACGGGUGAGUAACACGUGAGUAACCUGCCCUUGACUUUGGGAUGACUUCAGGAAACUGGGGCUAAUACCGGAUAGGAGCUCCUGCUGCAUGGUGGGGGUUGGAAAGUUUCGGCGGUUGGGGAUGGACUCGCGGCUUAUCAGCUUGUUGGUGGGGUAGUGGCUUACCAAGGCUUUGACGGGUAGCCGGCCUGAGAGGGUGACCGGCCACAUUGGGACUGAGAUACGGCCCAGACUCCUACGGGAGGCAGCAGUGGGGAAUAUUGCACAAUGGGCGGAAGCCUGAUGCAGCAACGCCGCGUGCGGGAUGACGGCCUUCGGGUUGUAAACCGCUUUCGCCUGUGACGAAGCGUGAGUGACGGUAAUGGGUAAAGAAGCACCGGCUAACUACGUG